rnacentral:lncRNA from 10 species
UAUUUGAGGACACCAAGAGGUGACCAUCAGCAAGCCCAGGAGAGAGGCCUCAGAAGAAACCAGACCUGCUGAUUCCUUGAUCUUGAACUUCUAGCCUCCGGAACUAUCCAACUUGAAUGCUUCCUGAUUAAAUAUAUACAGGAGUGAUUUCAGAGGAAUUUAAGUUUUGGAUCAUUCUUUUGAGAAAGAAAGAAAAGUACCCUUUUAAAAGAGGUGGCUCUUGAACAACACAGGUUUGAACUGCAUCAUUCCACUUAUACACAGACUUUCUUCUGCCACUGCCACUCCUGAGACAACAUGACCAAUCUCUCCCCUUCCUCCUCCUCAGCGUACUUUCAACAUAAAGACGACGAGGAUAAAGGCAUUUAUGAUGAACUACUUCCACAUAAUGAAUAAUUGAACAAAGGAGAGAAUUGUGAGAGUGAGAAAAAGUGAGACAAAGAAGAAAAACUAUAAAUCAGCAAAAUACAGUGCCAAGAGCUCUGGACCACAAAUCAGAAGACCUGAGCCCUAAUUCCUUUCCAGUCAUUGGAUUUGUUCGUCGCUUGCCAAAAUAGCAGCGAACUCUCUGUCAAACUGCAACUCAUUUUAUCGGAGCAAAAACUGAACAAAGAACUGCUAUCAUUUCUGAGGUGUGAUUUCUUAAGCAUUUUGUCUUGUGAUUGAUUUUUUAAAUAUAGUAAUUUUAAAGACACGGUUGAAAGAAGCAGCUGAUCGCUAAUAUCUGAUGGCUAAUAUGCUAAAUUUCCCUG